UUUGGUUGAGUUUUCUGGUGUGACCGUAUUGGUUGGGAUGUUUUUGACUGACAAAACCGUCGUCAUGACGACGAGGAGGAUAAGCAAAAUGUUUCUUCACAGCAAAUUCAACUCUGCCACCUAUGCCAAUGAUAUCGCCAUCAUUUUGUAAUGGAAGCGCCCGUGGUUCUUUUCAGGACUGUUGCACCUGCUUGUUUUCCACCGGCGGCCAGUACAGACCCCGACCAGUAUGUCGAUCAAGAUGCUAUUCUUUUGGGAUGGGGAGAGCCUAACAAAGAUAGCAUCCCCCUUAACCUGGAACAAGCCAAGUUUUCGAUUUCGCCCAACAUUGAAUGCAAGGGGAAUCCGCUUUUUGGUAAAUUUGUUACGGACACAAAUAUCUGUAUAACGAGUGGUGUCAAAUUCACAUGCACAAAUGACGUUUGCGGUCCAGCAGUCAUCCUCCCGUUACCAGGGGCCUGGACCAUAGUCGGAAUCAACAGCUACACCAAGGGUAAAUAUCUGAUUUUAUUUGGUGAAAAUGAAAUAACAAU